UCAAAUACUAUGAAGCUUCCACUUUUAUCCAGUUCAUAUUCAUUCAGUGGUGACUUGGUUAGGGCUGAUGAUGGGCCGUGUGAUUCUUUGAAGGAAACCCACAAAGUUAUGGUGAGGGAGAAAACCUUCUCUAGUCAGGGUCAAAAGGAAGGGCUGGAGCCAACAUCUACUGAGGUGAAUGGUUUCCUUUAACAUAUCACCAAGGGUAAGAGGGUGUGCUUUGUAUGCUUCAUUCAGAGUAUUCAUUUUNGUUAAGCUCAUAUGNAGAGAGAUGUAGAAAUAAUGUACUUGAGAGAAAGUACAGGUUGUUUAAUGUGGGUGAUGAAGAAGGACUUCCAAGCGUAACUGUUAAAAUAAUUAAUUGUGGUGAACAUAAUGAGGAUGGAAAGAAGAUAACUAAGUCAAAAAAGGAAAGAAUUGGAUCUACUAAAACCCAAUCCUGAACUGCAUAAGGGAAAACACAAAAAAGGUCAAGACGCAAAUCAAGAAGGUGAAUUAUAUGCUCGGGCAUUUUUUAGAGGAGAGCCGUAUCCAGUGGAGCCUGUUAUUGACAGUAGCGGGUGGUUUUGCAGACUGUUGAUUCAUGGUGAUUUCAUGGACAAUUUUCAGUUUAGUUUAGUUAAACUAAAUUAAAAAAUAGUUCAGUUCAGUUACUCUGAACUAUUUUUUAGUUUAGUACAGUUUUUUUGAACUAGGUUAUAGUUAACUACAAACUUUUACAGUGCAGUACAGUAUAGUACAUUUUGCCCA